GCAUAUCAAUAAGCGGAGGAAAAGAAACCAACUGGGAUUACCUUAGUAACGGCGAGUGAAGCGGUAAAAGCUCAAAUUUGAAAUCUGGUACUUUCAGUGCCCGAGUUGUAAUUUGUAGAAUUUGUCUUUGAUUAGGUCCUUGUCUAUGUUCCUUGGAACAGGACGUCAUAGAGGGUGAGAAUCCCGUUUGGCGAGGAUACCUUUUCUCUGUAAGACUUUUUCGAAGAGUCGAGUUGUUUGGGAAUGCAGCUCAAAGUGGGUGGUAAAUUCCAUCUAAAGCUAAAUAUUGGCGAGAGACCGAUAGCGAACAAGUACAGUGAUGGAAAGAUGAAAAGAACUUUGAAAAGAGAGUGAAAAAGUACGUGAAAUUGUUGAAAGGGAAGGGCAUUUGAUCAGACAUGGUGUUUUUUGCAUGUACUCGCCUCUCGUGGUCUUGGGCCUCUCAAAAAUUUCACUGGGCCAACAUCAGUUCUGGCAGCAGGAUAAAUCAUUAAGAAUGUAGCUACCUCGGUAGUGUUAUAGCUUAUUGGAAUACUGCUAGCUGGGAUUGAGGACUGCGCUUCGGCAAGGAUGUUG
rnacentral:rRNA from 1 species